GACGAACGCUGGCGGCGUGCUUAACACAUGCAAGUCGAACGGAAAGGCCCUGCUUUUGUGGGGUGCUCGAGUGGCGAACGGGUGAGUAACCCGUGAGUAACCUGCCCUUGCCUUUGGGAUAACUUAAGGAAACUGGGGCUAAUCCCGGAUAGGAGCUCCUGCUGCAUGGUGGGGGUUGGAAAGUUUCGGCGGUUGGGGAUGGACUCGCGGCUUAUCAGCUUGUUGGUGGGGUAGUGGCUUACCAAGGCUUUGACGGGUAGCCGGCCUGAGAGGGUGACCGGCCACAUUGGGACUGAGAUACGGCCCAGACUCCUACGGGAGGCAGCAGUGGGGAAUAUUGCACAAUGGGCGGAAGCCUGAUGCAGCAACGCCGCGUGCGGGAUGACGGCCUUCGGGUUGUAAACCGCUUUCGCCUGUGACGAAGCGUGAGUGACGGUAAUGGGUAAAGAAGCACCGGCUAACUACGUG
rnacentral:rRNA from 1 species